UGGGGAAUCUUGGACAAUGGGCGCAAGCCUGAUCCAGCCAUGCCGCGUGGAUGAUGAAGGCCUUAGGGUUGUAAAAUCCUUUCGCCGAGGACGAUAAUGACGGUACUCGGAGAAGAAGCUCCGGCUAACUUCGUGCCAGCAGCCGCGGUAAUACGAAGGGGGCUAGCGUUGUUCGGAUUUACUGGGCGUAAAGCGCGUGUAGGCGGGUCGUUAAGUUGGGGGUGAAAUCCCGAGGCUCAACCUCGGAACUGCCUUCAAAACUGGCGACCUGGACCUAAGUAGAGGCAAGUGGAAUUGCGAGUGUAGAGGUGAAAUUCGUAGAUAUUCGCAGGAACACCAGUGGCGAAGGCGACUUGCUGGACUUAUGGUGACGCUGAGACGCGAAAGCGUGGGGAGCAAACAGGAUUAGAUACCCGGGUAGUCCCUGAGCGGGCUGGCAAGGCGCAU
rnacentral:rRNA from 1 species